rnacentral:rRNA from 1 species
GAUGAACGCUGGCGGCGUGCCUAAUACAUGCAAGUCGAGCGAACAGACGAGGAGCUUGCUCCUCUGACGUUAGCGGCGGACGGGUGAGUAACACGUGGAUAACCUACCUAUAAGACUGGGAUAACUUCGGGAAACCGGAUCUAAUACCGGAUAAUAUAUUGAACCGCAUGGUUCAAUAGUGAAAGACGGUUUUGCUGUCACUUAUAGAUGGAUCCGCGCCGCAUUAGCUAGUUGGUAAGGUAACGGCUUACCAAGGCAACGAUGCGUAGCCGACCUGAGAGGGUGAUCGGCCACACUGGAACUGAGACACGGUCCAGACUCCUACGGGAGGCAGCAGUAGGGAAUCUUCCGAAAUGGGCGAAAGCCUGACGGAGCAACGCCGCGUGAGUGAUGAAGGUCUUCGGAUCGUAAAACUCUGUUAUUAGGGAAGAACAAAUGUGUAAGUAACUCUGCACGUCUUGACGGUACCUAAUCAGAAAGCCACGGCUAACUACGU